rnacentral:lncRNA from 1 species
UUUCCCCUCCGAGUGCCCCGGAGUCCCUAGGAAGUUAAGGAUGUGUGUUCCCUCAUUGCCCCCUUGCUCUUUCCUACUCUUCUCUGUGUUCCAGGGUCCCCCGACAGAGCGAUUCCGAGGCUCUGCCACUAGCGGCUUGUCGGAUGCAGCAGAAGUCCUCGGAGAGCUAAGAAGUCGAUGAAAUCUUAUUUGAAGUUGGAAAAAAGCCUCUGAGGAAAGUCAGGACACCGUAGAUGAGUGCCUGGGGAGGCGGCGCGGCCUGGUGGUUUGACACGGUGGCUCUGGAAUGGCCACUCACCGUGUGACUGCCAGAAGCCAGCU